rnacentral:rRNA from 1 species
GAUGAACGCUGACAGAAUGCUUAACACAUGCAAGUCUACUUGAACUUCGGUUUGGGUGGCGGACGGGUGAGUAACGCGUAAAGAACUUGCCUCACAGAUAGGGACAACAUUUGGAAACGAAUGCUAAUACCUGAUAUUAUGAUUUUAGGCAUCCUAGAAUUAUGAAAGCUAUAUGCACUGUGAGAGAGCUUUGCGUCCCAUUAGCUAGUUGGAGAGGUAACGGCUCACCAAGGCGAUGAUGGGUAGCCGGCCUGAGAGGGUGAUCGGCCACAAGGGGACUGAGACACGGCCCUUACUCCUACGGGAGGCAGCAGUGGGGAAUAUUGGACAAUGGACCAAGAGUCUGAUCCAGCAAUUCUGUGUGCACGAUGAAGUUUUUCGGAAUGUAAAGUGCUUUCAGUUGGGAAGAAAAAAAUGACGGUACCAACAGAAGAAGAGACGGCUAAAUACGUG